rnacentral:rRNA from 1 species
AUUGAACGCUGGCGACAGGCCUAACACAUGCAAGUCGAGCGAGCGGCGGACGGGUGAGUAGUGUAUGGGGACUGCCCGAACGAGGGGGAUCACUAUUGGAAAAGGUGGCUAAUACCGCAUACUAUCGGAUAACCCAUAUGGGAUUAGCUAGUAGGUGGGGAAAAGGCUCAACUAGGCGCAGCUCUCUAGCUGGUCUGAGAGGAUGAUCAUCGACAGUGUGACUGAGACACGGCCCAGACUCCUACGGAGGCAGCAGUGGGGAAUAUUGCACAAUGGGCGCAAGCCGGAUGCAGCCAUGCCGCGUGUAUGAAGAAGGCCUUAGGGUUGUAAAGUACUUUCAGCGGGGAGGCGUUAUCCGCAGAAGAAGCACCGGCUAACUCCGUGCCAGCAGCCGCGGUAAUAC